CCGCUCUCCAUGCACUGCUCCCUUUGCAAACAAUUAAGCAAAAUCAAUGAAAAGGCACGAAUAGGAAAUCGGCAGACGCCAGCUACACACCAAUCUUCUUCCAGAGUCUGUCUCUGCCUCCAUUUUUUUGGGGAGUUUCAUCACUUAAUUGUCAACAGUUCCUGUCCUGCAUUUUUGGCUCCCAUGGGCAGGAGGAGACCCAAAAGCCAGCGAGCUCUCGAAUUAAAGCACACUGAACAAAGAGGAUUUAUAAUCAUAGAAUCAUUUCGGUUGGAAAACACCUUUGAGAUCAUCAAGCCCAGAUGCAAACCUAACCCUGCCAAGUCCAUCAUUAAAUGCUUAGGCUGGGCUUUCACACAAAUGGACACUGCUGUCACACAUAAAAGAGAAAGAAGGUGGCAAACACUUCGUAGAGGAACUGGCACAGCAGCUUUUAAGGAGAGGCUGCAGGUCAAACUCAUUUGUAGAAGAAUGAGUUUGACUCAUUCAUUGAGGUGUUUUAAUGUCCCCGUAGAUAAAAAUCUAACCAGGAGUUGUUUUAUAAGAAGACAACUCCAUUUAUUUCCUGAGAAGGGAAUGAGAAAUCAAAUUAUGUGGUAAAAAACCGGUGGUUUCAGGGAAUGCCUCUGAAGAGCUCCAAGCCGUGAAGAUUUUCUUCUUGGGCACUUCAACUACAUAUCUUUUACAAGAAUGCCAUGUAAAUGAAGAGCAUUGAGACCUGUGUCGGUGCAGUGUUUGCUGUGAAUGGCCUUGCAAAUCAGAGAAGGGUGUGAAGAGAGGAACAAAGCAAACCCGUUAAACACAAUGUGCUGCAUUUUGCCUACUUGGAAGGCGAAAAACUUCAACGCCAUAGAAAAUCACCCGUGCUUUUGAUUUGUAAUGGAAGCAGCCCUGCGGUAUGUGACCUUCCAAAUACCUGUAAAUAGCACAAGCAUCCUUGUCCGGUGUUAAAACUGUAUAUUUCUUACUAGAAAUUGACAGCAACAGGUUGGUUCCUUACACAUCCUUUAGCUCUCCAGACCCAGCAGUGUGACUUGGCACCAGCACUGUGUUUUCUCACCUUUUCAGAAAUCAUCUUCAGAGCUGUGCCAUGUAUUUGCUAUGGAGUUCUGCUCUAUGCCUAAUGUUUCCACUCUGUAAAACACAAAGAAAAAUAAAGUAUGUUUUAAAAGGUUUGCAUGAAUGUGG
rnacentral:lncRNA from 1 species